rnacentral:rRNA from 1 species
GAGGUACGCGAGCUGGGUUUAGAACGUCGUGAGACAGUUCGGUCCCUAUCUACCGUGGGCGUUGGAAAUUUGAGAGGAUCUGCUCCUAGUACGAGAGGACCAGAGUGGACGAACCUCUGGUGUUUCGGUUGUGACGCCAGUCGCAUUGCCGAGUAGCUAUGUUCGGAUGGGAUAACCGCUGAAAGCAUCUAAGCGGGAAGCCCACCUUAAGAUUAGAUUUCCCUAAAGAGCCGUUGUAGACUACGACGUUGAUAGGUUGGGUGUGGAA